AAGAAAACAAUCCGAACUCUCCACAGGGAGAACUCGAGGGAACGCGAGAAGCACCGGAGCGACGCGGGAAACCGUGGCGCGGCGGUGGAGUUCUUGUGCUGAUUCCUUCUCAUCUGGAACCUCUUCCCUUUGCUCAGAAGAGAUAGUUUUAUGAUUCACCUGUUCUCCUCUUCCAGAAACUCUGCUAUUCAUUGGAAAUAUGGAGAGUUAUGCUUUCUCUUGGCUUGUGCAGGUUUAUCACCUAAGUAGGGCCUUAUCAUCAUCUACAUCCAACCCAAAGCAUGAUGAAGAGAAUGUGGAAAGGGCACAACAUGACCUUGAAACUGUGCCCCUCGCGUCUGGAACUUUCACAUUCCAUAUCGCACUGCAGGAAAGAGAGAGAAACAUGUGCUCUGGAAGAAGAGUGAACAGCAGCAGUCUCUGCCACACUGGGCUAAUUGUACUGGUGCCUAACAAAUAUCAAUGAUGUGAGAGUAAAUAAGAUAUUGGAUGUAACAGCUUAUUCCUGACCCCUGAAUUUAGUAGGCACCUAAAACAACAAUAUUUACUUUAGGCCACGCUUAUGUGUUUUCAUUUAUCACAUAGGCUGGUAUAAAACAAGAGUAUAAUCAUAGAACCUAAAGUAGGCAAUAGAGCUAUAUAUAGUACAAAAUGUGAAGAUUACUUUGUGAACAUUUUUCUUAUUUGGGUAUUAGGCUGUUUUUUGUGUUCUGAGGCACGUUCAUUAAAUUCACUAAAGACA